rnacentral:rRNA from 1 species
GAGAUUGAAACUGAAGAGUUUGAUCCUGGCUCAGAUUGAACGCUGGCGGCAUGCCUAACACAUGCAAGUCGAGCGGCAGCGCGGAGAGCCUAGCUCUCUGGCGGCGAGCGGCGGAC